rnacentral:rRNA from 1 species
GUUUGAUCCUGGCUCAGGAUGAACGCUAGCGGCAGGCUUAACACAUGCAAGUCGAGGGGUAACAGAGAAGAGCUUGCUCUUUUGCUGACGACCGGCGCACGGGUGCGUAACGCGUAUACAAUCUACCUUUUACUGAGGGAUAGCCUUUGGAAACGAAGAUUAAUAAGUAUGUUUACUUCGCCUGGAGUAAAUAUUAAAGAUUACGGUAAAAGAUGAGUAUGCGUCCUAUUAGCUAGAUGGUAAGGUAACGGCUUACCAUGGCAACGAUAGGUAGGGGCCCUGAGAGGGGGAUCCCCCACACUGGUACUGAGACACGGACCAGACUCCUACGGGAGGCAGCAGUGAGGAAUAUUGGACAAUGGGCGCAAGCCUGAUCCAGCCAUGCCGCGUGCAGGAAGACUGCCCUAUGGGUUGUAAACUGCUUUUAUACAGGAAGAAACACCUCUACGUGUAGAGGCUUGACGGUACUGUAAGAAUAAGGAUCGGCUAACUCCGUGCCAGCAGCCGCGGUAAUACGGAGGAUCCAAGCGUUAUCCGGAAUCAUUGGGUUUAAAGGGUCCGUAGGUGGAUAAUUAAGUCAGAGGUGAAAUCCUGCAGCUCAACUGUAGAAUUGCCUUUGAUACUGGUUAUCUUGAGUUAUUAUGAAGUAGUUAGAAUAUGUAGUGUAGCGGUGAAAUGCAUAGAUAUUACAUAGAAUACCAAUUGCGAAGGCAGAUUACUAAUAAUAUACUGACACUGAUGGACGAAAGCGUGGGUAGCGAACAGGAUUAGAUACCCUGGUAGUCCACGCCGUAAACGAUGGAUACUAGCUGUUCGAUCUUCGGAUUGAGUGGCUAAGCGAAAGUGAUAAGUAUCCCACCUGGGGAGUACGUUCGCAAGAAUGAAACUCAAAGGAAUUGACGGGGGCCCGCACAAGCGGUGGAGCAUGUGGUUUAAUUCGGUGAUACGCGAGGAACCUUACCAGGGCUUAAAUGUAGUGGGACAGGAGUGGAAACACUCCCUUCUUCGGACUCAUUACAAGGUGCUGCAUGGUUGUCGUCAGCUCGUGCCGUGAGGUGUCAGGUUAAGUCCUAUAACGAGCGCAACCCCUGUUGUUAGUUGCCAGCGAAUAAAGUCGGGAACUCUAACAAGACUGCCGGUGCAAACCGUGAGGAAGGUGGGGAUGACGUCAAAUCAUCACGGCCCUUACGUCCUGGGCUACACACGUGCUACAAUGGUAGGUACAGAGAGCAGCCACUACGCGAGUAGGAGCGAAUCUAUAAAACCUAUCACAGUUCGGAUCGGAGUCUGCAACUCGACUCCGUGAAGCUGGAAUCGCUAGUAAUCGGAUAUCAGCCAUGAUCCGGUGAAUACGUUCCCGGGCCUUGUACACACCGCCCGUCAAGCCAUGGAAGUUGGAAGUGCCUGAAGUCCGUCACCGUAAGGAGCGGCCUAGGGUAAAGUCGAUAACUAGGGCUAAGUCGGAACAAGGUA